CCCACUGCCGCACGGGGGCGUGGCCAGAAUCUGCCCGGAGGCUCACCACGCCCCGCUUCACAAACUCUGCAAGCCAGGCACACACAUUACUAACAAGCUCUGGAUCCUGUUAAAAGAGAACAUCAGUCACGAAGCACAGGCACAGAAGCCCCUAAGGAUGCUUCCAGAAUUAUGGAGACGUGUACCAAAUGAAGCUGAGGAGAGAAUUCUUAAUGAUGAAGAACUGUUGGAAGCAAGACUGGGAAGGGCUGACCUAUGACUUCUAGCAAAUAACACAACUGUGUCUCCAGAACUGAGUGGAUACUGAGACCCUAAGCCCAUACCUGCCCAACCUAUAGGAGGAAGUAGCCUUGGGGAUGUCACUGUGUUCCUGCCAAUGGCCCAAGGCUCAUUGAGCUAAUUGCUUUCUGGGGAAAGUGGUUUUGCUUUAUAUGUCUUAACAUCUGGGGAGAGAGACCACCUGUACAUCGCAGGAAGCACACCAGGACAACUACAGCAUGAAGCACACCAGAACGACUACAGCAUUAACAGGCUUGGCGAAGGCCACUGGUAAAAGGCAAGGUGCCCUCUCACAAGGAUACCAAUGUCACCAAAACGAAGUAGAGGAGCCAAUCUAUACCAGUCACUGCAGUCACUAUCAAGGAGAUUAAAAUACCUCUGCUCAGCCCUAAAAAUGCUGAGAGGAAAAUAAAUUAUGAGACAUUAGCAAUCUAAGGAGAAAGCUGUAGAAUAGCACAUUGUUUAGAAGUAAGACCUUAACACGUCAAGGCUCUUUAGUGGAUGCUGUGCUUGUUAUUGUCAGGUAUAGACACCUAGUAAGAAAGAUGGAUAUCCCAUCAUGUAUUUUAGGCUAAUAGUUGAGUGUGAUGAAAAGAAGAUCUUAAUAAGGAAGAAAUCUGAAUUUCCCUUAAAUAAUAACAACAAGCAAAUAGUUGGGCAAAUGGAAUGGCUUGUGUUGGUAGAAGUCAACUUAUUUCUCAAAAAAAAAAAAAAAAAAAGUAAAAUGUUACCUUUUUA
rnacentral:lncRNA from 1 species